GACGAACGCUGGCGGCGUGCUUAACACAUGCAAGUCGAACGAUGAAGCUGGAGCUUGCUCCGGUGGAUUAGUGGCGAACGGGUGAGUAACACGUGAGCAAUCUGCCCUUCACUCUGGGAUAACUGCGGGAAACUGUAGCUAAUACCGGAUACGAGACCUUGGGGCAUCCCAGGGUCUGGAAAGAAUUUCGGUGAAGGAUGAGCUCGCGGCCCAUCAGCUAGUUGGUGAGGUAAUGGCCCACCAAGGCGACGACGGGUAGCCGGCCUGAGAGGGUGACCGGCCACACUGGGACUGAGACACGGCCCAGACUCCUACGGGAGGCAGCAGUGGGGAAUAUUGCACAAUGGGCGAAAGCCUGAUGCAGCAACGCCGCGUGAGGGAUGAAGGCCUUCGGGUUGUAAACCUCUUUUAGUAGGGAAGAAGCGCAAGUGACGGUACCUACAGAAAAAGCACCGGCUAACUACGUGCCAGCCGCCGCCGUAA
rnacentral:rRNA from 1 species